rnacentral:misc_RNA from 1 species
GAAGAGGGCCCUCCUUGAGUCAGCCUUGUAUUAUAGGACUUGCAUUUCAGACACUUGUGUGCCACAAUGUGAUAAUUAACCUCUGAUAUCUCACUACAGUCAUUGCACAGAAUCCAAACCAUUUUAUGUUGGUACAUUUGUGGCAUUGGCGUCGAUGCGACCUCAUGAUCCAGUUUCUCCCACACGCUUGACAUAUCGCAAUAGGAUUUUGAGCAAACAGGGCAUGUGUAUUGUAA